rnacentral:lncRNA from 1 species
CGCAAUUUCAUCUGAGUGAGACCCCAUUUAAGGACUGACUCCCAAGGAGGAAGGAUCUCUAGCUGGAGAUCCUUCUAUGAGCCCAGGACACAGUACCUAAAACCACAUGGGAAGUGCGACGAUGGUACCUGCUGUGUGACCACUGGAUUUUCCUGUUGAAAUUCCCAUUCCUGGUUCCUAUGCAGGGCCGCUUCACCUCCACGCACAUGUAAGAAGUGAGAGCAAGGUCCAUUCUGAGCUGAACACCAGUGAGGCACCAUGCUUAAGUAAUUGUUUCAGUCUUCUGAGUAUUCACUGUACGUUUCAAGAAGAGUUGUUUAUGAGAUCAUGAAAUCAGCGCAUCCUGAGGCCAGCUGUAACUUAGAAAGUACCAUAAUCAGAUGGAAGUAUCCUUAAGUUGAGCCAGUGAGUCUGUAGGGAGCAUUGCACUGCAACUUAAACGUCCGUAUGUGCAGCAAACCUGAACCCCUCUGUGAAAUGGGAGAGUGAAUGGUAGCAUUUAACUGCUCAUAAACCACGGACAUUAUUUUAUAGGAAAAUGUCCAGGUGGCAAACCUGCCCCUCUCUGAACACCCUGGCAGCUCCAUCACUGAAGCCAGUCCUUGAACCCCUUUUAUUCUAGGAAUUAUGACUGGAUAAACAUAUUUGUAUACAUCGUCUUCAGAAGUGCUGUCAGCAGGGGACUGCAGCAGCUCUCUGAGCUCAUCCAGAGACUGAUUGGAAUUCCCUGCUCAUAGCAUUUGCAGGUUCAAUAUCAUUAUUGUUAAUGGUCACUGUGUGUGUGGCUCCAGAUGAAAACAGCCACCACGUGUUGGAUUGCCCACAGCCAAGCCAUCCCAGCACCACGCUCUUGCUGUGCCAAGCUGAGUGUGAGGACAUGGCACACCGGCCCUGCCGUGUCAGUGGUGGGGAUGCACACUGCAAUGAAGUGUCAAGCUGCUUCCACAGGCUGCUUGGAGAGCACAGCUUCAUUUCUCACUAUGGAAACAGUACAGCCAAAGAUGUCAGCAUAAAUCUAAGAGCAGGAUCACACUUCUGUGCAGCAUGAUGAUAAUCUAUGAAAAGCACCUUCCAAGGGAGAAUGAUUCCAUAGAAAUGGCUUUGCCCACUGACACUGUAUCUCAAUUGUGAUGCACCCUGUGCAGGACACCUUUGGAGAUGAAAGCCUGUGAAUCUUCUUUAGCCACUCUGGGGAGCACAGCCUUCAGAGGACUUCUAUAAUUUCUCUAAACCUGUGAUCAAAUGCCAAAUAAAUGAGCUAGGAAGCUGUCAAAAAAACCUUGCAGUGACCAUUUAUGAAAGCAGGUUUUCAAGGCAAUAGCAAGAAGCUUUGUGAUAUGCUCUGUCACUGCUGGAAGGGUGAUGCCACGGCACACUGCGCUCCUCAAAACCCACUGAAAAUCUACUCCUGAGAUACAGCAGUUACACUGACUGACAAGCUGGGACUCAGAUCUCCC